rnacentral:lncRNA from 1 species
CCCAACUUAAAAAAAAAAAAAAAAAAAAAAAAAAAACAAAAUCUGAAGAUGAAGAAAGACACAUCACAUUCAACCUGAGCUCCUGUUCUCACAAUAUUCCCCACUUUCCAGAAUGAUCUCCUGAAGUAGAUUAAUUUUAGAAAUUUUGACAAAUAAUUUCCUCUCUCUCAUUUUUUCUUUUAAAUACUAAAAUUCUCUCUUUAUUAUCACUGAUAUGUUUGCAAGAACCGACUUUGUUGAAAUGGCAAGAAUUAAAAUAAUAAAAAGACAAAAAUAUAAGAGGAAAAAAAGAUAUGUUUAUUGUCAAAAUGGUAUAUUUGGUUUCUUCCAGCAGCAUGAGUCGGAGAGGGUGUUGGCCGAUCACCUCCAAGUCUCUCGCUGUGGUGAGUUUGACCUGAUGAUUCUGUGUCAUCUGGAUGGUGUGAACUGAUAUUCAAAGAACUUAUUUUAUUUAUUAACUUCUUACAUUUCUAUCAGCUUCUUAUUUGCUUCAAUUUAUCAUCACAAUAUAUUUUACUAUUCAUGUCCAU